CAAAGCAUGUCGUGUGAGCGUGCCUUCCCUGCUCCAGCUCAAAUGAGCACUUUAAAAGGAGAGUACAGCAAAACCUGAUAAAAAUCACCUUAAUAGCAAAGGACAUGAUUCUGAUCAGCUUCAAAGGGGAACCACGCUGAAACCUCGCACAGAAGAAAAUCUAAGAGAUGAGAAGGGUUUGGGCCAGACCUACGGCAUACCCUGGCCUGGGAAAAGCCUUUCCCCAUGGCAUUGUUUGGAGGUGAUCCUCUGCAGACGGGAUCUGGGGGCUGCCCCUCCUCAGCCAACCUCUUCAGGCUUCAGUGCAAAUUUUCCUGCACCGGCCCCAAAUAAUUGUUUACGUGAGCUGACCACAGCGACACAGCAGCCUUUAUUUCUUUGUCUCUAUAUGAAGUGGAUCUGCAGUAAAUUGGAGAGGCUGGUUUGUUUGGUUGCUGGGUUUUUGUUGGGUGUGUUGUGGCUUUUUUUUUUAACAGACUGAUUGGCUGACAUCUAUUUCCAAGGAGAUCAUUGACAGGGAGAGAAUACACAGUUUAUUCAACCACGGUGGAAUACAGAAGCAUUUGCAUCAAAUAGAAAAAAAAUUAAUUCUACCUGAAAUGCAUGUAUAUGUCAGAAACACUUGACAUAUAAAGUAGAAAUAACAUUGCUUUGAAUCUGUAACAUUUAUUGUACUGCACGUGCUACACAAAUAAAAUACGUAAUUACUAGACAGCACAGGUAAAUUAGCAUCUUAAAAAUUUCACUUUUUUAUCACGUACCAUUUGCAACCUGGAAAUUUUGUAGCACCAACCUGUAUUUUCAGGUGUCUGAGGAAAGCAGAAGGCACUUACAUGGUCCAGAGUCUGGGAGGUCUCAGCAGCCUGCAAAGCCAGGCUGGCUUCUGCUUUGCACUUGCCAACAUCAGAGUCUUGGCUUGUGAGUUUAGCCAUAAAGUGUUUUUAAUAAUGUAUCUUAGUACAAAUUAGGGCAAUUUUGCUUUUUCGAUUAAAUUGCUUUUAAGUAGUAAAACACAAACUGCAUCCAAACCCCACUGGUAAUUAGAGUCUCCUUUCAAGUUGUGCUCCUCUCCCCACCGGGCAGGUUAGCCGAGGCAGAGCAGACGAGCUGGGUGCCCAUGGGACGUGCUGGGGACGGCACCCCGGGAAAGGAGCAGCGCUGGAGCUGGGCUGCCCUUCCCGGGACGGGUCUCAGGACCCUCAACCACAGCUCUGAUGUUACUUGCACGUUGCACAUGCACGUGGAAAUCCCACUUCCCAACGGCUUCCCUCUGCCAGCUGCUGGAAUCAAAAGCCACCUGCAUUGCCACCUAUGCUCCGACCCAGAGCUUGUGUUUUGGUGGGGGAUACAAGCCGACCUGGCCUUGCUCCCACUGAGGGACACGUUGCCUGCUCCGCCUGCGCAUGGUCUGAGUUAAGGGAUGUUUCUCCAUGAUUAACAAGGAGCGGGAGAAACAGUGACACGAGAAAAUUAGUUGUUACUUGAGCAAGAUUGCCAGCCGUUGUGUCGAACAGCCCCUCCAUGGCAGGGUGACAGCACUGAUACCAGCAGCCGUGCUAAUAACCACCAGCUUGCUUACACUGCUGCAGAGCCUGAGGUCCCCAAGCACAAACGAAGCCCUGGACAGCUUACAGGUUUUCUCAGGACAGGACUGUAGAAGUGGUUGUAAGAAGCAAUAAGGGGAGAAAAAAACUAUUGAUCCAUAUAGUUGCCUGAGUGAGGUCAAUGGGAUCAUCGACAGGUACAGGCACUGUUAGGUGUAAAACCUGGAACCAGUCACUUACUGUUAGCAAAUGCCUCAGGGCACUGCUGCUUCGCUGGAAGGAGGCAGAUCCCCCUGCAGUGUCCCAAAGAGGGAUUAGUGAAAAACAGUUCAACUGGCUUUUGGCUUUCUGUUCCCCAACUAAAUUACACGUUGUUUUAACUUGUCUGUGGCAUCAGAUACCAACCAUAACUUCUUUAGAAGGGAUUCCUGGUUUCAUUUCCUCUCAUUCAGCAUCAAUUAUAGAGCACCUGAGCUACAAGACGAGAGGUGUAGCCCCCUCUGCACGCCUCUGCUUCCCUUCUUUGAGAGACAGACCGGGUAGGCUGGUGUCUGCUGCCAUACAGGUUUCCCCGGAGUUGUCAAGCUCUCGGGGAUUUUGCAUUUUCUGCUGCAGAUUGCAGAGCAAAGUGGCAGGCAGGAGGCCAGGCUGGUGGUGGGGAGGUGACAGCAGCGCUGCCUGGCUGGCCCUGAGCAGCGAGCCAAACCAUGGGCAGCACAGGGCAGCCCAUGCUUCGUGGAGCCCUACCACUUUCCCAAUGGCACUUCAGCAACAAAACGGUUAAAUGCCACAUGGGAAGGUUUCCUCCUCCCCAACUCCCCCCAAAACUGUAGUAACAUCUUAAGUAGAGGCAUCAGACAGACAAGAUAAAGGCAAAGCCCUUCUGCAGGAGGAUUUGUCUUUCAAAUCUAGAUUAGCAAUUGGUGUUUGGGCAAGAUGGGACCCUAAUCUGAUUGAAUAAGGGGAGUUUGUGAUAUCAAUCUCCUUGGAUCCCAUUGUCUUUGUGCUGCUUUGUAAAUUAAUAUUCAUUUUCGUCUCUAUGUUUAUGCCGAAUCUGUUGUGCUUCUUGUCUCUCACUGUUUGAUGAAUUGCAGUCCUCUGUAUUGGAUACUGUGCACCAGAAUUAGCAUUAUAUUGUGUUUUACCUUUAUACAUGUGCUUAAGUGGCAGUGAAAAGAGCUGCAGCGCGUGCAGGCUGCAGGCUGGGGAGCUGCAGCUGCCGGCGGGUCCAGAGCCAGGCACCGGCUCUGACAAGGGUCUUUGCAAUGGCCCGCUGGCUCUCAGCUGGUGUUGGUGACUGCUCCAGCCUGGGGCUGCGGGAGCCAACCAUCGCCUGGCCGAUGGGGCAAUUCUGGCUGCCACUGCCCUGGGUGCUCCCCCUGUCCCUCUGGGGACUCAGGCCCCCCUCCCCAGGUCUGUGCUGGAUGGGCUGGUUCAGUCUCCAGCACCAGCUUUCCCCCAGCCCGGCCCACCACCGGCUGCCCCUUCCCGGGACUGUGCCGUCUGCCCGCGGCACCGUGCUCCUGCAGCGCCACGGUGGCUUUUUUUGCACAGUUCACUGCCAGUGCCACCUUCCCCAAAAUUCAAUUUUUUCCCCUUCCCUUAGAACAUUGCAUCUUGUUCAAUCCUUCCCCUGUCACACCAGCUCCAGCACUGUUUCAAUUGGAUUCCAAAAAUAACCUCUUUAUUCACACGGCUCAUGCUAUUAUAUCGUAGUACAGCUCGGGCAGGCGAGGGGUCAUUCCAUUAUCCAGGAACGAGAUAACUGAGUAUUAGGGCAGCCAGGCUCUUUGACUCUCUGCCCUGUGGUAAUGGGCCUUUUUUAAGGGCAUUAACCAAUGUUUCUACUUAGGUAUUUGACAAGAGUAAAGGUAACAUUGCCAUUUAAUCCUUUCUUUUCUUUUUUUUUCCUUGCCUACAGACAGCACUCACACAUUUACUUCUCUUCAAGUGUUCAAACUUCAGCUCAAAACCACAGAGCUCAUUUCCUCUAAACCCUUCCCCUGAAGUUCUGGUUACAGGUCAGAUUAAAUAUUCCAGGCACUAGGACACAGGUAAUCAUUCCUGCUUCAAAUGCCACCGCCGGCUCUCCUCCCUUCACCACACCGCGCUGAGCCCACUGCCUCCCUGGGGAGACUCGCAGGGGUCCUUCCUGACAGCAUCCCGCACUCCUGUGGCGCUGGCUCUGGUCACCCCUCCUGCACACCCACGUGCCACUGAAACGCGGGUGAUGGAGGAAGGUUUUCCUGACCCGCUGGGCGGUGGCUGCAGGGGGGGGGGACAGUGAAGUGUCCAAAGGGGCUGGCAAAGGGACUGGCCCCUCUGCACGGAAGCUGUGUCCUGGCUGUCACUCGCAGGCUCUGGGGAUGCACGCAACACAAAAGGCUCAUCCAUGAACGCGGGCUUGUCCAGCAAGUGCUGGGCAGGCGUCGCUAAUGGAGAAAUACCAGUGCACAAGUGACGUUCUGACUCACGCCGGUCUCGCGCAAGUGUGCGUCUCGCCCUGAUGAGGCUGCAGCCUGCGAAAUACGCUAGAAAAAUUAAGGGCGAGUUCUUUGCCACCUCUCACUUCGUCCAGGUGCGGUACCUGGAAGUGCUGCCUUCGACCCCUGUUCACAGCAGGAAAAUGCCAGAGAUUUGGAAGAACAUUAAUGAGCACAGGGUUUGUAACAUUCCAUCCCUCUCCUCCUAAUCCAGACCAGAGAACAGGCAGCAAGGGGACUGAAAGCAGGAGGGAGAAGCUGGAGAGAAGGGCUGACAGAAGAGACAGCAGCAGGAUGGGUAGUUAGUUGUGAGUCAGUUACUUACUAGGACUCAGAGCACUGCAGGAAUUUAAAGGACAGUGUGAACCGACCAGCCCAUGUGUUUGUGAGGGCAGGAGCACCCAGCACAGCAGGAGCCUUCUGCUGUCCUGGGCAAUGCCACUUCCUCUGGAUUGAUGAGAAAGUGUCCCAGAAAUCUUAAGAGAUGUGGAAAAAAAACACAUACUGCCACUUUAAAGUUUUUUUAAGGAACAAAACAAGUGGGACACCAGGGUGUCCAGACAAUUCAUUUGAGGGGUGCACUCCCUGUCUGCUUUCAUUACAGGUUUGUUGCUACACAUGUGCACAGCCUCCUGGGCAGCAAGGAUCUGGAGCUGUUGGUCAGGGCAGAGCGACUCUUCCGUUUCUUACUCCAGACCAGCCACAGCCCGACUGAAGGCUGCAGACAGCUUUAGGACGGGUUAAUUUGUGAAUAUCCCAAGCACUUCUUUAGCAACACUUCUCAUGCCUUUCUCUUCUGAAUCUCUCAACUCACACACAGAUUUUUCCAGGCAAGGAAGGUUUCAGGCUCUCCUCCAGCACAAGCAUGAAGCCCUCUGUCAGAGCAGCAGUGAGAAAACAACUGAAUAGCCCAGCUGCCUCUCUGCUCCUGUUCUUGUGCAGUUGUCCAGACAAUCCUGCAUGUUCCUGGUUUAUGCUUCCUGACACACCUUGAGCUGAAGACGGUUUGAGUUCAUACUCUGGGUUUGACUAUUGCAAAGGCUAAAGCCUGCUUUCUGCCUCCUGGAGCUUUGCAGUCCCCACCAUUUGAUGUCUAUGAAAAAAGCCAGACAGUGCCAGAAAAAUGUUAAAUGAAAAAAAGCACCCCUUCAAGCAUUCUCCAUGUUUUGCUCCAGUCCAUCAUUUUGGUUUCUAAGACUCAAAAUCUCAGAAGACUGGAUCCUCAAUGUUAAAACAAGGUAGCAUCCCUGAGCCAGC